rnacentral:ncRNA from 1 species
UGACUCAUUACAGUUAACAUAAUCUCAACUAAUACUACCACCAACAUUGCUUUUUGAUCCUUCGAUGCCAGCUCUUCCUAUUAUACUGAAGCGGAAUUCGGUAAGCGAUAGAUUUUCCACCCACUAAUAGGCAACGUAAGCUACCUGUAGUUUAAGAUCGUCGUAAGACGGGUU